rnacentral:lncRNA from 1 species
UGAGGUUGUGGGUUUGAUCCCUGGCCUCAGUGGGUUAAGGAUCUGGCGUUGCUGUGGCUGGGGUGUAGACCAGCAGCUACAGCUUCAACUUGACCCCUAGCCUGGGAACUUCCAUAUGCCACAGGUACAGCCCUAAAAAGACAAAAGACUAAAAUCAAAUAAAAAAUAAAAAUAUUAUUUUCAGGUGUUUAAUGUAGUAAUUCAGUACUUUUACAGAUUACACUCCAUUAAAAAUUAUUAUGAAUACUGGCUAUAAUUCCAGGAUAAUCUUGUUGCUAGUAUUCUUUAAAUUAAGGCCAAAGGUGGGGGGAAUGCUAUGAGUCAGAUUUUCAGAAAAUUAUUUAGAGUAAGCUGAAAUUCCAGCACCACCUACUCCUAAAUGCCAUUAAAAUGUCCUUGAAAUCAACCCCAGUAAACUCUCAGGCACAGCCAGAACAUAAAAAGAAGGAGCAGAGCUUAGAAUCUGAAUCUGUAUAAUCUAGCCCUUCCUAAUGGGAAGAGAUUCAGAAGUGGGGUCCCUUCACACAGCCUUGAGCCCACAUGGCUGGAGAGACUGAUGAGCAGUGAGUAUGUGGAGGGAAGGCAGCUCCUGCCGCCGGCCGAUACCCAGUGCCCACAUCUGAGCUGAGCUCUCUGCCCAGCCCUCAGAGAGGAAACCAGGGACACAGCCCAAACCCCCAGCCUCAGGUCAGGAACUGCUCUGAGUGGAACUGGGAAGAGAGGUCGCCCCAUCAGCUCACGGGCUGGGACAUUUACAGUAAGGACACCGCCUUGGAAACUCAGGAGAACAACCUGGAUGCAGGAGCAGCCAAGCUGGGUUGCAGAUCUUUCCUCUAUCCUCCUCCUCUUGGCAUGAGUGACUCAGCCCUCCCAAGGUGCUGGCUCCACUGCUGGCUCUCCUCCACUCCUGCUUCUACCUCCUCUCUGUGGGCUGAUACCUAAAAACGACUAAAGCAUGGGCACCUGCCAAGCGGAACAGACACCAGCUGUAACAGUGGAGAGGAGUAGCCCAAACUUAGUGGCCUGGAACAACAAAUAUUUACAAUCAAGAAGUCGGAGCUGCUUUGUUGGGUGGUCCUGGCUCAGGGCCUCUUGUGAACUUGUAGCCAGUGGUCAAUGGGAGUUGUAGUCAUUGAAGGCUUGACCAGGGCUGGAGGAUCUGCUUCCAGGAUGUCUCACUUGUGGGCUGUGAGCAGGAGGCCUCAGUGCCUCAUCAGGGGGCAUCUCCACAGGGCUGCUUGAGUGUCCUCACAACAUGGCGGCUGGCUUCUCCAGACGGAAUGGCACAAAAGAGCAAGGCAAAGUCAUGGUGUCUUUGGUGACCCAGCCUUGAGAGUCACCCUCUCAUUUCUGCCGUAUCUUAGGGGCUACAUAGAUCAGCUGUAUUCUGUAUGAGAGAGACUAUACAACCAUGUAAACAGCAGGGGGUGAGGCUUGUUGGAGGGAGGAUUCUCCCAGGAAGGAGGCUGGGUAUCACAGUACCCUAUUACUCCCUCAGAAUAAAAUACAAAUGCCCGGCCUUUGGCCUGAAAAGCCUGGCAUGAACUGGCCCCUAUCUACUGUCCAGUCUCAUCCUGUCCUUCUUUUUAAGCAGGUUUUAAGUAGGGAGUGAUAGGGUACUGUGGUACCCUCUUAGAAUAAAAUACAAAUGCCUGGCCUUCAGCCUGAAAAGGCUGGCAUGAACUGUCCAGUCUCAUUCCGUCCUUCUUUACCCACUAAACACAAUAACCUUCCCUCUGUCCCUCAGUUUCCCAAGUUCAUCCUUUAUAUUUGCUGUGCCCUCUGCCUAGAAGUCUCCUUACCCAGAUCUUUGCAUGGCUGGUCCCUUCUCAUCUUUCAGGUCUCAGCUCGGAUGUUACCUCCUCAGCCAGGCUUCCCCGACCACCUUGUCAAAAAUAGCUCCUGCCCUAGCCUGUCACUCUCUCUCUCACAUCACCUUGUGGUCUUUUGGGUUUGGUUUGGUUUGGUUUUUGUUCGCUGUUACAAAUCUGUAGAUACUACAUGAAUGAUGAUAUGGAAUUUGCAUUUUAUGGUCUGCCAGUAUGAUGCAUUUACACACACGCACAGUUUCAAGGUCAGCUCCGGUUCCUUAGGAGAUGCUCAUUCACAUCACUUUGCGUUAAUUUUUUCCUAGCACUGACCUCUAUCUGAAAUUAUCUUGUUUACUGGAUUAUUGCCCUUCUCCCUUCAUGUCCCAGCAAGCGUCCUUGUUUACAAGCAGCAGUCUCCUCUCUAGAUGGUUAAAACCAAAGGAAUUUGAUAAAGGUUACUGGGGACCUCGUAACAUCUCCAGAAAGGCAGAGAACUAGGCAGCGAGGCCAUCUGUGGGGAUAACCCCCACUGCACUGACACCACUUUCCCUGGUGCAGGGGGGCACUUGAAGAUGGACACCCCCAAUGGGGUGGCUACCGCUUCCUCCUCUGAGAUCCAGAUGGAUCUGCUCUCCUCCUCUCCAGAGAAGAUGCCUUAGCACUGGCUCCUCAGGGACCCUUAACCUCAUGCAGGUGCAUCUGGCUGGAGGUGUCUUAAGUGGCAUGUCUGCCCCAUCUGCAGGUGAGGCUGGGAAAGGAUCUGGCUUCCACCUUGGGGAGGUGUAAGUCCAUUGGGUGGAGGAAUUCUCAAAGUGUAGGAAGCGUGUUCGUUGGUGUGGGGAAGCCAAAGUGAGCUGAUGACAUAUAUCCUCCACUAUCUACCCCCCUUAGUUACUGGACCUCAUCAUCAACCCUUCUCCCAUAAUUGAUCUUACAAACCACAGCAGAACCCAGGAGAAAGCUGAGAGCUGUGUCUCAAAAAGAGAAGAAUUCCUUGAAAAGAGGAUUCAUGGCUUCACUCCAAAACUCAGGGCUUUCUGUUAUCCUCUGACCGCCUCGCUCACGGAUCUAUUCCUUGCUUGCCUAGAGCUGCCCCUGGGUGAGUGCUCUGAGAGCAGGGACCUUGUUCAUCUCUCCAUCCUCAGAACCCAGAACAGUGCCCGGCCCACCAGAGGUACUGGAAAGGUUGAGUUACUGAGUCGUGUCCAUGAAUUGUCCCCUCCCACAGUGAAUAGGGCUGACCUGUGUGACUAGUAAGGAAGGGCGGAAGUGACAUGUGUGACUUUCAAACCUCAGCCUCCAUGGCUAACAGCCUCCUUUGGCUCUUCCAGCUUCAGGUUUCAGAGAAGGAGAAUCCGAUUGGCUCAUGUUGCCUAUUUGUACCAUGUCAUAGAUCAUUAGGGGGCCUAUAAACUGGGGGCUUUGGGGUGAGGUGUCUGCCCGCUUUGGUUGUCCGAAGGGGCUGAUGGCCACCCAGACACUGCAGUUAACAAACAACAAGGGGGUCCCUUUACAUGGAUUUGAAAAUCUCCAUGUAAGACUUUCUCCCAUAGAGUCAGAAAUACUCAUGAAAACCCCUUAAAUUACCCCUAAAUUUCUCUACUGUAUAGGACUGUCUACUGAAAACCUAGUUCAGCCAGUUUUCCUUUCCAAGUAGGAAGAGGUGGCUGUUUAUUUGGUUGCCUGCGGAUGAAGUAGCUGGUUUACCUGAUGGUCUUGUUGGAUGAAAAAUCCCAUCUUCAGGAGUUCCCGUCAUGGUGCGGUGGUUAAUGAAUCCGACUAGGAACCGUGAGGUUGCAGGUUCGAUCCCUGCCCUUGCUCAGUGAGUUAAGGAUCUGGUGUUGCUGUGAGCUGUGGUGUAGGUUGCAGACGCAGCUCUGAUCCUGCGUUGCCAUGGCUCUGGUGUAGGCCAGUGGCUACAGCUCAGAUUAGACCCCUAGGCUGGGAACCUCCAUAUGCCAUGGGAGCAACCCUAGAAAAGGCAAAAAGA